ACCUGGCUGGCUCAGUCAGUUGAGCAACUGACUUCAGCUCAGGUCAUGAUCUCAUUGUUUGUGGGUUCGAGCCCCGCAUCAGGCU
rnacentral:tRNA from 1 species